rnacentral:rRNA from 1 species
GACAGAGGGUGCAAACGUUGUUCGGAUUUACUGGGCGUAAAGCGUGUGUAGGCGGCUUCGCAAGUUGGAUGUGAAAUCCCACGGCUCAACCGUGGACGUGCAUCCAAAACUGCGUCGCUGGAGUCUCGGAGAGGAAGGUGGAAUGCUUGGUGUAGAGGUGAAAUUCGUAGAUAUCAAGCAGAACACCUGCGGCGAAGGCGGCCUUCUGGACGAUGACUGACGCUGAGACACGAAAGCGUGGGGAGCAAAC